CCUACGGGAGGCAGCAGUGAGGAAUAUUGGUCAAUGGACGAGAGUCUGAACCAGCCAAGUAGCGUGAAGGAUGACUGCCCUAUGGGUUGUAAACUUCUUUUAUAUGGGAAUAAAAUGUUCCACGUGUGGGAUUUUGUAUGUACCAUAUGAAUAAGGAUCGGCUAACUCCGUGCCAGCAGCCGCGGUAAUACGGAGGAUCCGAGCGUUAUCUGGAUUUAUUGGGUUUAAAGGGAGCGUAGGUGGAUUGUUAAGUCAGUUGUGAAAGUUUGCGGCUCAACCGUAAAAUUGCAGUUGAAACUGGCAGUCUUGAGUACAGUAGAGGUGGUCGGAAUUCGUGGUGUAGCGGUGAAAUGCUUCGAUAUCACGAAGAACUCCGAUUGCGAAGGCAGUUCACUGGACUGCAACUGACACUGAGGCUCGACAGUGUGGGUAUCAAACAGGAUUAGAUACCCUGGUAGUC
rnacentral:rRNA from 1 species